CAUAAGUUUUAGCCUCUGCUUCUUUCUGAGAUUUUGCAUUAGCGUUAGCAUUUCUUUCAGCUUCAUCUUUGGUCUCAGCAGAUGCGUAAGCUUUAACAUUGGUUUUGGCCGAUUCGUCUAAUUGACCCUUGGCAUUUUCUUCAUUUUUUGCUUCAGCAUCUUUCUUUUCUUUCUUUUCAGCUUCAAGUUCCGCAUUAGUAAAAGAUUGAGCUUGAGCCUCUGCUUUCGUUUUUGCAUUAGCGUAAGUUUUGGCUUCAUCUAUUUUUUGAGAUUGUGCUUUGGCAUCUGUAUUUACUUCGGCUUGAUCCUUUGCUUCUGCAUUUGCAUCAACUUCAACAUUAGCUUCGGCAUCAGCUUUAGCAGAUGCAUCGGAUUUAGCCUUCGCAUUUUCUUCAUUUUCUUCUUCAAUAUCUUUCUUUUCUUUAUUUUCAGCUUCAGUUUCCGCUUUAGCGAAAGCUUGAGCUUGACCCUCUACUUUUGUUUUUGCGUUAGAAUAAGUAUUGGCUUCAACUAGUUUUUGAGAUUGUGCAUUGGCAUCCGUAUUUACUUCAACAUCAUCUUUGGCCUCAGUGGUAGCAUCAGUUUUGGCAUUGACCUCAGCAUUAGCUUUAGCAGAAGCAUAAAUUUUUCCCUUGGUAUUUUCUUGAUUUUUGGCUUCGGCGUCUUUAUUUUCUUGAUCUUUUGCUUCAUUUUUUGCAUUUGCAUAUUCUUGAGCUUUAGACUCUGCUUUUGCUUCAACGUUAGCAUCAUCUUGAGAUUCUGAAUUGGCAUCAUCGUUUUCAAAAUUUGCUUCAGUAGAUGCAUCGUUUUUUUCUUUAGCGUUAUAUUCAUUUUCACCAUUUUUGUCUUCACCUUUAUCUCCUGUGUCAACUUGAGCAUCAUCUUUUACUUUUGCUUCAUCAUUGACCUCAACCUUUGCAUCCGUUUCAGCAUUGGCUUUGACAUUAGCUUCAGCAGAUGCAUCACUAUUUGCCUUAGUAUUUUCUUCAUUUUUGGCUUCAACAUCUUUUUUGACCUUAUUUUUUGCCUCAUUUUCUGCAUUAGCAUAAACUUGAGCUUGAGCCUCUGCUUUUGCGGCAGCAUUAGCAUCAGCUUUAGCCUCUACUUUUUUUUCGGAUUGUGCAUUUGCAUCUGCAUUUACUUCAGCAUCAUCCUUUGCUUCGGCAUUUGUAUUAGCAUCAGCAUUAGCUUCGGCAUCAGCUUUAGCAGAUGCAUCAGAUUUAGCCUUGUCAUUUUCUUCAUGUUUUGCUUCAGUAUCUUUAUUUUCUUUAUUUUUAGCUUCGGCUUCUGCAUUAGCAUAAACUUGAGCUUGAGCCUCUGCUUUUGCUGCAGCAUUAGCAUCAGCUUUAGCCUCAGUUAUUUUUUGGGAUUGUGCAUUAACAUCAGCAUUUACUUCAGCUUCAUCUUUGGCCUCGACCUUUGCAUCAGCUUUGGCAUUGGCUUCAGCAUUGGCUUCAGCAGAUGCCUCAGAUUUGACUUUGUUAUUUUCUUCAUUUUUUGCUUCUGUGUCAUCAUUUUCUCUAUUCUUGGCUUCAUCUUCUGCUUUAGCGUAUACUUGAGCUUGAGCCUCUGUUUUUGCUUCAGCAUUAGCAUCAACUUUAGCCUCUGCCUUUUUUUUAGAUUGGGCAUUGGCAUCGGCAUUUACUUCGACUUCAGCCUUGGCCUCUGCAAUUGCGGCAGCUUUUGCAUUAGCAUCGGCAUUAGCUUCAGCAGAUGCAUCACUAUUUGCCUUAGCAUUUUGUUCAUUUUUGGCUUCAACAUCUUUUUUUACUUUAUUUUUUGCUUCUUCUUCUGCAUUAGCAUAAACUUGAGCUUGAGCCUCUGCUUUUGCUGCAGCAUUAGCGUAAGUUUGAGCUUCUGCUCUUUUUUCGGAUUGUGCACUGGCAUCUGCUUUUACUUCAACUUCAGCAUUGGCUGCGGCAACUGCAUAAACUUUUGCACUAGCUUCGGCUUUAGCUUCAGCAGAUGCAUAAGAUUUUGCUUUAGCAAUUUCUUCAUUUUUGGCUUCAGCAUCUUUAGUUUCUUUAGUCUUUGCUUCAGCUUCUGCAUUAGCGUAAUCGUGCGCUUUAGCCUCAGCGUUUGCUUCAGCUUUUGCAUAGGUUUUUGCCUCAGCUUCUUUUUGAGAUUUUGCAAUAGUAUUAGCAUUUUUUUCAGUUUCAUCCUUGGCCUCGGCAAUUGCAUAAGCUUUAGUAUUGGCUU
rnacentral:lncRNA from 1 species